GUAUAAAUACUUUGGCUGUCAGUCAGUUCCGAUAUCUUCAACCUGUUGGUCAUCCAGCAUCUCCUCUCUUUCUUCACAUUCGUUUCUUGUCAACUUUCCUGUCAAAGAUGUCGAUGAUCAAUUUCGCCGUUUGCUUCUUGGCUGCCGUUGCAGUGGUGGCUGGUAAUCCAGGCUACGGAUACAAACCAAUGGCUCCUGCGUACACACCUCCUGCGUACACUCCUCCUGCAUACACACCACCAGCAUACACUCCUCCCGCUUACACACCACCAGCGUACACUCCUCCUGCAUACACUCCUCCGGCUUAUACUCCUCCUGCUUAUACUCCACCAGCAUAUUCUCCACCAGCAUACAAAGCUCCUUCGUACAUGGCUCCUGCUUAUUAUUAAGUUCUUGUUAAAACUGAAGUCUCCUAAAAUGUUUCACCGUCUGAAAUUAUGCUUCCGUUUGGCCGCUCCUUUAGAACACAAAUUUUAACUUAAAUUAAAUCCAAUUAAAAAUAAAUAAAUGAUCGAUUAAGAAAACUGUCUCAAAACCUCAUUUCAAUAGAUAUCUUAUUGUGUAAAUUACCACUGCAACCUUUUCUUCAAGUAAAAAAACGUCUGAUCAAAUUAAGAAAAAAAAA